UAUUAGGUAACUUAAACAAAGUAUUAAUCUUUUAAAUUAAACAAAGGAAAAAUAUAUUCCUCCUAAUAA
rnacentral:tRNA from 1 species